rfam:Ornithorhynchus anatinus chromosome 4, whole genome shotgun sequence.
CCCGUCUCAGGAUCGUACCUGGAGAGUUUCCAGUACUCUACCAGUCUCGGCUAUGGGAGGGAGAGUCAAGCAGAGCCAUGCCCAUUCCAUUCCUAGCUUGGGCAGUGGCUAGCGAGCGGAAGGCAAUCUGCUACAAGU